UAUGGAGAAAUAUGGUGAUGGACAAGAAAGAAGAAGAUGGGUUGCUAGGGUUAGUACCUCCUCUAGACUUGUGAAAUGAGAGAAAAAGGAAGAGAGAGGGGAGAGCUUGAAGAGAACUUAGGGUUGGCUUCAUGGAGAAGAGGAGGGGAUGAACCCCACAAGGGGGCUGAUGUUUCUUUGGAAGAGAAAGGGGCAUGUAUUUAUAGAGUGGAGGUUAGGGUUUCAAGAGGAUUUUAAGCAUUGGAGACUCUAGGAUUUCAUGAGAAGAGAGGUAAGAGCAUGAAUAAGGAUCCUUAGAUCUUCAUGGAGAAGAGGAGGGGAUGAACCCCACAAGGGGGCUGAUGUUUCUUUGGAAGAGAAAGGGGCAUGUAUUUAUAGAGUGGAGGUUAGGGUUUCAAGAGGAUUUUAAGCAUUGGAGACUCUAGGAUUUCAUGA
rnacentral:lncRNA from 1 species